CCUACGGGGGGCAGCAGUGGGGAAUUUUGCGCAAUGGGCGAAAGCCUGACGCAGCAACGCCGCGUGGGUGAUGAAGGUCUUCGGAUCGUAAAACCCUGUCGUUGGGGACGAAGGUGGGGGCGUUAAUAGCGUUUCUGCUUGACGGUACCCGGAGAGGAAGCCCCGGCUAACUCUGUGCCAGCAGCCGCGGUAAUACAGAGGGGGCAAGUUGGGCUUGGAAUUAUUGGGGGUGGUGUUCGAAGUGAGGGGUGUAAUCCCCGAGCUCAACCUGGGAACUGCAUCUGAGACUGGAAGGCUAGAGUACUGGAGAGGGUGGUGGAAUUCCUCGUGUAGCGGUGAAAUGCGUAGAGAUGAGGAGGAACACCAGUGGCGAAGGCGGCCACCUGGACAGUAACUGACGCUGAGGCGCGAAAGUGUGGGGAGCAAACAGGAUUAGAUACCCCAGUAGUC
rnacentral:rRNA from 1 species